ACAUACGACCAUAGGCGCUAGAAUACUCGGCAUCCCGUCCGCUCUGCCCUAGAUAAGCUGGCGACCGCCGGAUCAGUACUCAGGUCGGUGACGACUGGGGAAUCCCCGGUGUUGUAUGUU
rnacentral:rRNA from 1 species